rnacentral:lncRNA from 1 species
AUGCGGCCCGUCUGGACACAGCCCCUCCGCGACCACCUAGGGCCCUGGAGACCUGAUCCACCAUGGAUUCUCCUUUUCUCAAGCCCUCUAAGUCCGAACUUUUCACUAAGGAGCUCUUCACCUGCACCCAGUCCAUCCUCUGUGCUUUUCUCCCUCUGACAUCCACAUCAGAGCUACUGACCUAAUCUUACCUCUGCAAAUGUGCUGAGACCUCAAGGAAAGGAGACGGCAGACCUCACAUGACCAGAAGCGGGUCUAACCCAGAGCUGCCAUCAUAAGGAGCUCGGGGACCACUUUAGACCUCCCAAAUAAAAUGACCUACCGCUGCCAUUCACUUUCUUUUUUCUUUUUGUCUUUUUGAGACAGGGUCUCACUAUGCAGUUCAGACUGGCCUUGAGCUCACUUUGUAGCCCAGGCUGGUCUUGAACUCACAAUGAUUCUCUUGCCU